AGGACGAACGCUGGCGGCGUGCUUAACACAUGCAAGUGGUGCGACGAACCGGAGCUUGCUCCGGGGCAGAGCCGCGAACGGGUGAGUAACACGUGGGUUACCUGCCCUGAUGACCGGGACAACCCGUCGAAAGACGGGCUAAUACCGGAUGUGCCCGCAAGGGGAAAGGAGGCGUAAGCUUCCGCAUCGGGAUGGGCCCGCGGAGCAUUAGCUUGUUGGUGAGGUAAAAGCUCACCAAGGCUUCGAUGCUUAGCUGGUCUGAGAGGACGAUCAGCCACACUGGGACUGAGACACGGCCCAGACUCCUACGGGAGGCAGCAGUGGGGAAUAUUGGACAAUGGGCGCAAGCCUGAUCCAGCCAUGCCGCGUGAGUGAUGAAGGCCUUCGGGUUGUAAACCGCUUUCAGAAGGAACGAAACUGACGGUACUUUCAGAAGAAGGUGCGGCAACUACGUGCCAGCAGCCGC
rnacentral:rRNA from 1 species